rnacentral:rRNA from 1 species
UACGUAGGGGGCAAGCGUUGUCCGGAAUCAUUGGGCGUAAAGCGCGUGUAGGCGGCCCGGUAAGUCCGCUGUGAAAGUCCAGGGCUCAACCCUGGGAUGCCGGUGGAUACUGUCGGGCUCGAGUCCGGAAGAGGCGAGUGGAAUUCCUGGUGUAGCGGUGAAAUGCGUAGAGAUCCGGAGGAACACCGACGGCGUAAGCAGCGCCCUAAACGAGUACUGACGCUCAGGCACGAAAGCUGGGGGAGCAAACAGG